rnacentral:lncRNA from 1 species
GUGGAAUGUACGGUAAGCUUUAUUCAUCUCCAAACCCACACUUCGUGAAUGAGAGUAGCAUCGCCACCACCAUUCACAAUUCAAAUCGGGUUUGCCACCAGCUCCCCAAUCGAGAGCCCACUCGGUAAACCGCCAGCACUCAUGGAGUGUUUGACCCUUCUAGGCGAAUACUGUCGCACUAUCCUUAGCAAUGGCCCCCGCAGCGUGGGCUUGGCAUGAGCGCAAUCUCACCGCCCAAAGCAGUCAAGUCUUGAUCAUUACAGUGAUUUGGAUGGUCACCUGAAGGUUGUUGGUGAUUCUGGGUUUUGCGUCAUUACAUUUAUUUAAAGGCAUUUCUUUUCAAGUUUCUAACUUGCUUUGAUUUUUGUUGAGUAUUUUCGACUUGUGAACUGGGAUAUGAAAGCCAACAACUCGUUGAUUGGAGCAGACAAACAGCUUAAACUGGCUGAUUUUGGUUUAGCUCGUAUAUUUGGGAGCCCAGAUAGAAAGCUCACUCCCCAGGUAUGUCGUCUUAUGUACUAAUUAUGAUUGAUGGAUGCAGUUCAGUACAUCCUUAGAAGAAAUUCUUGUUUUAUCAAGUUUACUAAGCUUUCAGCUAGUAUUAUUUUGCUCUGUCCCAUAAGGCAUAACUAAGCAUCCUAUUUGACAGCAUAAAGUCAUUUUUUAUCAGCUUGUUGAUAAAAAUGAACUGAUGACUUUGAGUUAAUUACAAUUUCUUUCAAAUAAUGAUUUUAAUUGCCUUUUCAAUUGAUGAAGUUAGUACUAAGUAAACUGGUGAUCAGUGUAUUCAUCCAAUUUUGUUUGGUAUUUGGAUUUUUUGAAUCAAAGUAAUAAUGUUGGCAUUCGUGGUUUAUGGUUGUACUUGGAAAAACAGUUGACUCAUGGUUCUGUGGGAGGUUUUGUCAUCAAUAUAAAUGUAUUUGUAUGUAUGCAACUCUAACAGGAACACUCCAUCUUCUUUAGGAAAGAAUACAUUUAUGGUUUCCUCUGCAUCGUGUUUUCUAUGUAGAAUUAUAAAUUAUUGUAGAACUAUAAUACUUUUUAACAACUUAUUGCUAAUUGGUUCUUGUUGAUAUGACGUUGAUUCUCUAAAACAUUGCAAAGUAUGUUAUAAUGCAAUAACUCUAAUCUGUCCGCAUCUCUUUCUUCAAUUACUUUUUUUAUUUAUUGCACAACUUGAGUAUAGUUGUUUGUUCUUUAUUCAAGUCUUUUCUAGAUGGUAUAGAGCGCCUGAGCUUUGUUUGGUGCCAAGCAGAAUGACCCAGGAGUAGAUGUUUGGACAAGUCAAUGGUAUUUCAGAUCUAGGAUUUAGUAGCAGCAAGUCAAUGUCGUUUUCGAGGAAAGGCCAUUUGGGCAUUCAUGUGGUAAAUUUCCUCUGUGGGGUUUCAGGUCUGAAGGAGGUGCUGCGGCUGGCAGAACAUUUCGAAAAAUAUAAUUGGGGACGAAAAGAUUGGACCGCGUGCUGUCCUCCUCGACAUUUGACAAGGAAGAUGAUAACAAUCUAAACCUUGUGAAAUUAGAUGUGGUAACUGGAGAGAAGAUGAGAAUCUGCUGUGUACAUCUAGCCACUGUUUCUGAUCUAGUCAAAGUUACUUUUGAGAUCAAGAAGAAAGUCAUAAUUGAGAGCAGAAUGGAUUACAACAAGCAUUCCAAGUAGAAACUAAGAUAAAAAUAUUUGGCAUCUCUUUUCCAUUGUUGUGAGGAUUCUUUAAUUGUGAUUUGGAAGUUGUUCAGUUAUACCUGGAACAUACCUAUUUCUGAAGUUGAUAGUUUCUCUUUAUAAAAGUCAUUUUGAUUUGAUUAGAUGUACUUAGCAGUCCACCUGCUAGUGUAUGUAUGUGUGAAAAAUGACGUUUGUUGAACAUUACUAUAUUUAGAGAAAUAGUAAAUAGAAAAUC